rnacentral:rRNA from 1 species
UGGGGAAUUUUGGACAAUGGGGGAAACCCUGAUCCAGCCAUCCCGCGUGUGCGAUGAAGGCCUUCGGGUUGUAAAGCACUUUUGGCAGGAAAGAAACGUCGCGGGUUAAUACCCCGCGAAACUGACGGUACCUGCAGAAUAAGCACCGGCUAACUACGUGCCAGCAGCCGCGGUAAUACGUAGGGUGCAAGCGUUAAUCGGAAUUACUGGGCGUAAAGCGUGCGCAGGCGGUUCGGAAAGAAAGAUGUGAAAUCCCAGAGCUUAACUUUGGAACUGCAUUUUUAACUACCGGGCUAGAGUGUGUCAGAGGGAGGUGGAAUUCCGCGUGUAGCAGUGAAAUGCGUAGAUAUGCGGAGGAACACCGAUGGCGAAGGCAGCCUCCUGGGAUAACACUGACGCUCAUGCACGAAAGCGUGGGGAGCAAACAGGAUUAGAUACCCUGGUAGUCCACGCCCUAAACGAUGUCAACUAGCUGUUGGGGCCUUCGGGCCUUGGUAGCGCAGCUAACGCGUGAAGUUGACCGCCUGGGGAGUACGGUCGCAAGAUUAAAAACUCAAAUGAAUUGAC